UGUAUCUAUGUGUUUUUUGUUGUAAAGUUUAACAGUGAACUUAAUGUGCCUAUAUUCUACUGCUUGCUUCUCUUUCUUAUGAACACUUUCUUCCUAUCCCAUUAGCGCUUAUGUAUUUGUAAGUGGGGACUUAGGGCAUCGCAACAAUAAUUGUUGUCCAUGAAUUGAGUUUUUGACCCCUAACCUCUAAGUAGGCUGGAGAGUGUGCCGGUAUGUCUCAUUGUUGGGUAUGCCCUUUACAUGCUCUUUCCUUGUAUCAUGCUUCUAUUAUGAAUCCUCAUACUCCAUUACCCUUGUAUGUUGAGAUAAGGUAUACCCUAAAAGCAUCCAAAUUGCUAUCCAGAGCUGAACCUGACCUUCAACAGGUGCUAACUCCCCAUAUUUAAAUAUGACAUGCUGGUCAGGGGUGUGCAAUAAUCCCAAUUGCUGGACAUAACCACCAACUUUCCAUGUCCUUCCCUAAUUCCCC
rnacentral:lncRNA from 1 species